UCAAAGAUUCGAACCUGCAGCAGGUUCGAGUUGAGCGCAGCGAAAUAACGGAGCCGCUCGCGGCGACGGCCCGUAGGGCGAGCGAAGCGAGUCAUCCUGCACGACCCACCA
rnacentral:sRNA from 1 species